rnacentral:rRNA from 1 species
UACGUAGGGCGCAAGCGUUGUCCGGAAUUAUUGGGCGUAAAGAGCUCGUAGGCGGCUUGUCACGUCGGGUGUGAAAGCCCGGGGCUUAACCCCGGGUCUGCAUUCGAUACGGGCAGGCUAGAGUGUGGUAGGGGAGAUCGGAAUUCCUGGUGUAGCGGUGAAAUGCGCAGAUAUCAGGAGGAACACCAACGGCGAAGGCAGCACUCUGGGCCGGUACUGACGCUGAGGAGCGAAAGCGCGGGUAGCAAACAGG